rnacentral:tRNA from 1 species
AGCUCAGUGGUAGAGUGCGUGCUUAGCAUGCAUGAGGUCCCGGGUUCAAUCCCCAG